CCUUCCAUUUCCCAUCUGUUCUCUCGCAUUGUUCCCGAUCAAUUUUGUUUUACUUUCAUUUUGGAAGUUUUCUGGCUGCGCGGGUGUGGGUUUCCCCUCUGGGGUCGGGCGCUGGGCUCUGAAGGACCCUUGAAUUCUCAGUCUUGUGGUGGACAGAGCAGCUGGCCGCUCUCAAAGGCAGACAAUGACCCUUUGUGGACACCACAGUGGGUGGCACCUCCUGUGACUUGCCAAAGGUCACCGUGCAGGGGGAGGAGCUGCUGCCCCAGGACUCCUGGUGACCUUAGAAGGUUUUGUCCUUUUAGUGUAGCAUCAGGUCAGUGCAAGAUGACUUUGAAAACUUGCCUUAUUCCAAGAGAUUCCACCGAGUUUUCCUAUGAACGCUGCCACUUCAGACACAUCUGUCUUUCUUCUAAGAUUUUAACUCCUGAACAUGGGUGUGUUUUUCUUGUGUGUCCUCAAUGAAGCCACUCCACAAGGCACCACCCACCCCCUCUUGAAGUUAGACCCCUCUGCAAGGUGAGGCUUUUGUCCUUGGUAGUGGAAUACCACACUCUCAGCCACAUUUACAGCAAGUUAAAAAUGUUUUCCAGCAAAUAAAAUAAUUUUAUCUAGGGAAAGUCAGAUCAUGAAGACUGCUCUAUUUAUUUUAGAAUUUUGAUAUUCAAAUGAGGUUGCUAUGUUAAGAAAGUUUUUCUUUCAGUUGCCAACAGCUAAGUGCAGUGCUAGAGUGAGAUGUCAGCCACUGUAGAAAGAAAAAGUAGGGCUGGGGUUGGGGCUCAAUGGUAGAGCAAUUGCCUAGCACGUGUGAGGCACUGGGUUUGAUUCUCAGCACCACAUAUGAAUAAAUAAGACAAAGGUCUAUUGACCACUGAAAAAUAUUUAAAGAAAAAGUACAUGAUCUUCUUGGAGGUAGUUUUCAAUCUAGGGAAUAACGUUUUCUGCUCAAUUCCAUAAAAUUAAUUUCAAAGCCAUUUGGAAAUUGUCUUCUUUUCUUCCUCUGCCAUCUUUGUAGAUAUCUCCAUUCUGUCAUGUGCCACACUGAAUUUUAG
rnacentral:lncRNA from 1 species